UAAUACGGAGGUGGCGAGCGUUGCUCGGAUUUACUGGGUGUAAAGGGCACGUAGGCGGUCCUAUAAGCCCUGCCUAAAAUGCUUGGGCUCAACCUAAGCGUGUGGUGGGGGACUGCAGGACUUGAGGACUGGAGAGGUAAGCGGAAUUCCCGGUGUAAGGGUGAAAUCUGUAGAUAUCGGGAGGAACACCAGUGGCGAAAGCGGCUUACUGGCCAGUUUCUGACGCUGAGGUGCGAAAGCUAGGGGAGCGAACAGGAUUAGAUACCCUGGUAGUCCUAGCCGUAAACGAUGGACACUAGGUGUUGGUUCCGUUAAGGAAUCAGUGCCGCAGGAAACCCGCUAAGUGUCCCACCUGAGGAGUACGGCCGCAAGGUUG
rnacentral:rRNA from 1 species